UUGAAACCUCUUUUACGGAUAGGGCUGUGGAGUGUAGACUUGGAGGGGAGAGAAAUCUAACAUAGGUCCCGUUAACCCACUGUCCCUGUGUUUGUGAGAUGUCCACGAUGUCAGGCCUCCCAUUCUGAUAUGUUUCAGUAUAAAGACUUCCUUAGCAUUACUAGUUCUUGUCUCUUUUUUUAGACAGAGUUUUGUUCCUGUUACCCAGGCUGGAGUGCAAUGACGCGAUCUCGGCUCACGGCAACCUCCGCCUCCUGGGUUCAAGCCAUUCUCCUGCCUCAGCCUCCCGAGUAGCUGGGACUACAGACGUGCGCCACCACGCCCAGUCUGCCCACCAGCAGUUCAGUUCAGCUCUCACCGAAGACGGCUGCAGCUCUUCCCAGGCACCACGGAGACACAGCAUCUGACACGGUCACCAGAAGGGCACCCUUCCUGUUCAACGCUCUGCAUGUGCCAUCGAGGGGCCUUCUCUGCAGAUGUCCCAGAGGCUGGCAGUCCUGCAUGAGGUGCUUCAGCAUGAGGCAUUUCAGCAUUGAAAUGCCAAGAGCUGGGUUUAAAAAAGGGGAGAUGAGAACCCGGGAUCUCUACAGAUACAGGAGCUCCAAGGAGGACUCAGCAGAGCUGGAGCACCAUGUGGUCUAUUGCUUCUGCCCAAGUUCACCAAGCACAAGUAACCUGCACAUAUUUCUCAUCCGUUCAUCAUGGACUCCAGCGAGUGUGAUGGUUUCCAAGUGUUUCCCAUAGCCUGACACCUUUUGAACCCACAGAGGCAAAUGAGGAGCAUCUUUACAAUGUCAGCAAUUGAAACUGAUAUAAAGAAGACAAGAAUGAUGAGUGUGUAACUCUUCCGAAUGCAAUUUCAAAACUGGACCUGAGUCCAGGGAAGUGGAACAAACCCUGACCGCCCCAGUACUUGCAUGUGGGGGUCUCAGUGCCAAGCGAUUCAUUAUGCAAAGUAGGUGCUUCCCAAGUGCUCCAUCUGAUAAGGAUAACAGCGGUGCAUUUUGCCAAGUUAAAUCUGUCCCAAGAAACGAAGGCUCUUCUUGCUGCUGAGUUGAGAAGUGCUAAAGAGAACAGUAAAAGCUCCUAUCCGAGUCCAGAGGGACAUAAAGAGCACAUAGUCUUCCCGAUGGCAAUAAAGCUUCAUGUCUGCGCUAACCUCCCUUGACU
rnacentral:lncRNA from 13 species